rnacentral:rRNA from 1 species
ACGCUGGCGGCAGGCUUAACACAUGCAAGUCGAGCGAUCCCUUCGGGGAUAGCGGCGGACGGGUGAGUAACGCGUGGGAACGUGCCCUUCACUACGGAAUAGCCCAUGGAAACGUGGAUUAAUACCGUAUACGCCCUUCGGGGGAAAGAAUUUCGGUGAAGGAUCGGCCCGCGUCUGAUUAGGUAGUUGGUGGGGUAAUGGCCUACCAAGCCGACGAUCAGUAGCUGGUUUUAGAGGAUGAUCAGCCACACUGGGACUGAGACACGGCCCAGACUCCUACGGGAGGCAGCAGUGGGGAAUCUUAGACAAUGGGGGCAACCCUGAUCUAGCCAUGCCGCGUGAGUGAUGAAGGUCUUAGGAUCGUAAAGCUCUUUCGCCUGUGAUGAUAAUGACAGUAGCAGGUAAAGAAACCCCGGCUAACUCCGUGCCAGCAGCCGCGGUAAUACGGAGGGGGUUAGCGUUGUUCGGAAUUACUGGGCGUAAAGCGCGCGUAGGCGGACUGGAAAGUUGGGGGUGAAAUCCCGGGGCUCAACCCCGGAACUGCCUUCAAAACUAUCAGUCUAGAGUUCGAGAGAGGUGAGUGGAAUUGCGAGUGUAGAG